GAUCCUGGCUCAGGACGAACGCUGGCGGCGUGCCUAAUACAUGCAAGUCGAACGAGAGCGACCGGUGCUUGCACUGGUCAAUCUAGUGGCGAACGGGUGAGUAACACGUGGGUAACCUGCCCAUCAGAGGGGGAUAACAUUCGGAAACGGAUGCUAAAACCGCAUAGGUCCUUUAACCGCAUGGUUGAAGGAGGAAAAGAGGCGCAAGCUUCUGCUGAUGGAUGGACCCGCGGUGCAUUAG
rnacentral:rRNA from 1 species